rnacentral:rRNA from 1 species
GACGAACGCUGGCGGCGUGCCUAAUACAUGCAAGUAGAACGCUGAAGAGAGGAACUUGCUCUUCUUGGAUGAGUUGCGAACGGGUGAGUAACGCGUAGGUAACCUGCCUUGUAGCGGGGGAUAACUAUUGGAAACGAUAGCUAAUACCGCAUAACAAUGGAUGACACAUGUCAUUUAUUUGAAAGGGGCAAUUGCUCCACUACAAGAUGGACCUGCGUUGUAUUAGCUAGUAGGUGAGGUAAUGGCUCACCUAGGCGACGAUACAUAGCCGACCUGAGAGGGUGAUCGGCCACACUGGGACUGAGACACGGCCCAGACUCCUACGGGAGGCAGCAGUAGGGAAUCUUCGGCAAUGGGGGCAACCCUGACCGAGCAACGCCGCGUGAGUGAAGAAGGUUUUCGGAUCGUAAAGCUCUGUUGUAAGUCAAGAACGGGUGUGAGAGUGGAAAGUUCACACUGUGACGGUAGCUUACCAGAAAGGGACGGCUAACUACGUG